CACCUGAGUCCAAUAAACCCAUGCCUCCAUGACCAGAGCCCCGGCCACUCUCAUAGAUCAGUAUGUUUAAGGUUUCUUCAAAGAUGCGAGCUUCUGGGAACUCGACCUAUGAUUACAAAUUAAAUGACAGAAAGUAAAAAAUGGCAUAAACGAUGGAGGUACAGCAAACCUCUGCGAUCUUGCGUCCAUCUCCAUAAAAGGACCAGCAGCAGAUUUCGUCUCCAAGGACGUCUUUAAUGAAAAGCACUCUACCAUUAAAGCGCAGCCCCAGUUUAUCAAACAGCUCAAUGUUCUUCAGCAAGUUGUCAUCUGAGUUACUGAAGGAGUAAUAAAAGGUUUUUAGAAAUGUUAUGCACCAAAAUACUGCAUGAGAAAAUUUAGUGUCAUUCUGUGUAUGUUAAAGUCUCAUAUUGUUGCUCUCAAUAUUCAAUCAUGAAGACAUUACACACUGUUACCAAGGUGCUACGUAAAAUGUAGUAAACCCCUGCUUGUACAGGUCAGUGAGUUCAUUGGGUUAAUGAGUUUACUAUUGUUUGUGUUUUGAUGUCCCUUCAAGAGUUUUACAAGAACACUGCAAGGUGCAAGUUAGGCUAGCGUACAUUUCCUCCAAAAACAUAGAGGAAUUGUGUUAUGCACCAGGAGCCAGCCUUUGCUGCUUAUUCUCCAUCACAGGGCAGCAUAAAACAUUUAGAGACAUGUGGGGGGAUUUAACAUUUAUGCAUUGCAUGGCAAAGCUGCAAAAGUGUAUAUAUGCUGACAGUACCUGGUAUAAGAAUAUUUAUUGUUCCCUCUGUUAUUCUGCAAUUUUACCACAGGCUGAAAAAGACAAUUAAAAACAAUUUUAGAAAUGA